rnacentral:snRNA from 1 species
GAGUGCUUGAAAUUGUCGGGA